rnacentral:lncRNA from 1 species
AUGGGCAAACUUAGGGCACAUUUAAGUUUUAAAUGCAGGGACUGCAUCGUCCCCAUCACCAGCAGCCCACACCUAUCCUCGGCUGCAGCCAGAGGGCCAGGGCGAGCGUCGGCGCCCAAAAGGUGCUGGUUGCAUCACCGGUGCGGGGCCGGCAGCCCCGGCAAUCCUGUCCCCUCCCGAGCAGGGCUGCAGGUAGCCGAGCGCUGCGUGUUCGUCUGUCCGGGCUCGGGAGCCAUGGCCGGGAUCGGUGACCCUGGGCUGCGGUGGUGCUGCGGCACGGCCCCUUCCCUGCGGGCCCUGCGCCCUGACAACGCCACGGCCACCAAGCUGCUGGGGACGUGGCUGUACGUGGCCGGGGCUGCCCAGUUCCCCCGGCACCUCCUGGAGAUGCUGCUCAUCGACCACGGGCACCUGCACGUGGAGCCCCUCAGGGAUGGGCCGGAGCUGCUCAUCACCCAGCACGUGGCCGUGGGGGACCAAUGUCUCACCAACAACCUCACCUACUUGGAAAUCGCCGCCGGUAACACCACACUGGUGAAGCAUGCCAAGACCCAGGAAACUGUGGGGACACUGAUGAACCUCAGCUCUGAAGACCUUUUACUCAUCCAGUACCAACUGCAGAGGGAAAGGACAUAUUUGGGACUGUAUCUCUACGCCCGGAACCUGAGCGUGAGCACAGCUGACCGUGAGGAAUUCGAGCACCACGCCAAGUGCCUGGGGCUGAGGGAAGAGGAGAUCAUUUAUGCACCCUGGAAAACAGAGCUGUGUCAAACAAAAGAAAUAGAAAAAGGCAACACCCCACACACGGAGCCCGUGGCUGAGGGCACAGCAUCACCUCCUCCAGGUACCCCCCGGCCUGGGAGUGUGGGGAACUGACCCCACUUCAAGCAAUAAAUGUUUUCUUCAAAUUCCA